rnacentral:rRNA from 1 species
GAUGAACGCUAGCGGCAGGCUUAACACAUGCAAGUCGGGCGGCAGCGGGGUGGGAGCUUGCUCCCACUGCCGGCGAGCGGCGCACGGGUGAGUAACACGUAUGCAACCUGCCCCUGUCAGGGGGACAACCCGCCGAAAGGCGGGCUAAGCCCGCGUAUAUCUCCCCGGGGCAUCCCGGGGGGAGGAAAGGAGCGAUCCGGACAGGGAUGGGCAUGCGGCGCAUUAGCUGGUCGGCGGGGUAACGGCCCACCGAGGCGACGAUGCGUAGGGGUUCUGAGAGGAAGGCCCCCCACACUGGUACUGAGACACGGACCAGACUCCUACGGGAGGCAGCAGUGAGGAAUAUUGGUCAAUGGCCGAGAGGCUGAACCAGCCAAGUCGCGUGAGGGAAGAAUGUCCUAAGGAUUGUAAACCUCUUUUGUCGGGGAGCAAAAAGGCUCUGCGGAGUCGUAUUGAGAGUACCCGAAGAAAAAGCAUCGGCUAACUCCGUGCCAGCAGCCGCGGUAAUACGGAGGAUGCGAGCGUUAUCCGGAUUUAUUGGGUUUAAAGGGUGCGCAGGCGGCGUGUCGAGCAAGCGGUAAAAUAGCGGGGCUCAACCCCGUCGAGCCGUUUGAACUGGCGCGCUUGAGUUCAGGCGAGGUAGGCGGAAUUCGUGGUGUAGCGGUGAAAUGCAUAGAUAUCACGAAGAACUCCGAUUGCGAAGGCAGCUUACCAGUCUGCGACUGACGCUCAGGCACGAAAGUGUGGGUAUCGAACAGGAUUAGAUACCCUGGUAGUCCACACAGUAAACGAUGAGCGCUAGGUGUCCGGGUCGCAUGAGACUUGGGUGCCCGAGCGAAAGCGUUAAGCGCUCCACCUGGGGAGUACGCCGGCAACGGUGAAACUCAAAGGAAUUGACGGGGGCCCGCACAAGCGGAGGAACAUGUGGUUUAAUUCGAUGAUACGCGAGGAACCUUACCCGGGCUCAAACGACUCAGGAAUAUAUUGGAAACGAUGUAGCCAGCAAUGGUCUGAGUCGAGGUGCUGCAUGGUUGUCGUCAGCUCGUGCCGUGAGGUGUCGGCUUAAGUGCCAUAACGAGCGCAACCCCUACCGCCAGUUGCCAACGGGUAAAGCCGGGAACUCUGGCGGGACUGCCGGCGCAAGCUGCGAGGAAGGCGGGGAUGACGUCAAAUCAGCACGGCCCUUACGUCCGGGGCGACACACGUGUUACAAUGGCAGGUACAGCGGGAAGCCACCUGGUGACAGGGAGCGGAACCCGAAAGCCUGUCUCAGUUCGGAUUGGAGUCUGCAACUCGACUCCAUGAAGCUGGAUUCGCUAGUAAUCGCGCAUCAGCCAUGGCGCGGUGAAUACGUUCCCGGGCCUUGUACACACCGCCCGUCAAGCCAUGGGAGCCGGGGGUGCCUGAAGUACGUGACCGCGAGGAGCGUCCUAGGGCAAAACUGGUGACUGGGGCU